UACGUAGGGGGCUAGCGUUGCUCGGAAUCACUGGGCGUAAAGGGCGCGUAGGCGGCUUUAUAAGUCGGGGGUGAAAGCCUGUGGCUCAACCACAGAAUUGCCUUCGAUACUGUAGAGCUUGAGACCGGAAGAGGUAAGUGGAACUGCGAGUGUAGAGGUGAAAUUCGUAGAUAUUCGCAAGAACACCAGUGGCGAAGGCGGCUUACUGGUCCGGUUCUGACGCUGAGGCGCGAAAGCGUGGGGAGCAAACAGG
rnacentral:rRNA from 1 species